UACGUAGGGGGCAAGCGUUGUCCGGAUUUAUUGGGCGUAAAGCGCUCGCAGGUGGUUCGUCGCGUCGUGCGUGAAAGACCCCGGCUCAACUGGGGGGUGUCGUGCGAUACGGGCGGACUGGAGGCCAGUAGGGGGAUGCGGAAUUCCGGGUGUAGUGGUGGAAUGCGUAGAGAUCCGGAGGAACACCAGUGGCGAAGGCGGCCGCCUGGACCUGACCUGACGCUGAGGCGCGAAGGCGCGGGGAGCGAACGGG
rnacentral:rRNA from 1 species